AAGUCGUAACAAGGUUUUCGUAGGUGAACCUGCGGAAGGAUCAUUAAUGAAUCUCGGGAGUCCCUCCUAACCGGAGAAGGCCCGCAUCAUUACUUCACACACUUGUGCAUUUGUCCCCCUUUUAAUACCUUUAACCCUGUAUGCAUUUGAAACAGUCAUUGGUUACAAACAUGAUAAAUGAAAGAAAAACUUUCAGCAAUGGAUCUCUUGGCUCUC
rnacentral:misc_RNA from 1 species